CAGGUACCAAGACAGCAGUGUGAGGUCAGCUUUUACGCCCGUGCUCACCAAAGGAGUCCGUACUCCUUUGGUGCCUAAGCCUGGGCCUCUGAAGAGUGGCCUCAAUGUCCAGAGCUCAGAUGGCCACCUAAAUAAGAGAUUCCGCCCCUACACACGUGGCAUCCCUAUGUCUGGUCGCAGUCACAAUGCCAUUCCCAGUGACUACAGCUCGACUGGAGGGGUUUCUCAGCUCUGUAAGAGAAGAGGUUCCGGUGCCUCAUCCUUCUCCAUCCCCACCUCGUGCUACAUGAAGACAAUAGAGAGGCCAGGAAAGAAAAUUAG